GACGAACGCUGGCGGCGUGCUUAACACAUGCAAGUCGAACGGAAAGGCCCUGCUUGCAUGGUACUCGAGUGGCGAACGGGUGAGUAACACGUGGGUGAUCUGCCCUGCACUUCGGGAUAAGCCUGGGAAACUGGGUCUAAUACCGGAUAGGAGCCAUUUUUAGUGUGAUGGUUGGAAAGUUUUUUCGGUGUAGGGUGAGCUCGCGGCCUAUCAGCUUGUUGGUGGGGUAAUGGCCUACCAAGGCGGCGACGGGUAGCCGGCCUGAGAGGGUGGACGGCCACAUUGGGACUGAGAUACGGCCCAGACUCCUACGGGAGGCAGCAGUGGGGAAGAUUGCACAAUGGGCGCAAGCCUGAUGCAGCGAAGCCGCGGGGGGGAUGACGGCCUUCGGGUUGUAAACUCCUUUCGCUAGGGACGAAGCUUUUUGUGACGGUACCUAGAUAAGAAGCACCGGCUAACUACGUG
rnacentral:rRNA from 1 species